AGGUGCUGAUGAGUUAAUUCCUGUGGUUAGCUACAUCUUGAUAAAAGCUGACCUUCCCCAGUUGUUUUCAGAAUGUCAGUUAUUAGACCAACUCAUGGAUCAAAGAUACUUGAUGGGAGAAGAAGGGUACUGCUUGACAUCAUUUUUGACAGCCUUGAAAUACUUAGAGACACAGACGGACUGGUAGAGUGAUUCCAGAAUAUUCCAUCAUAAGAAGCUCUUAAACUACUUGGAAGGACUUCUAUUGCUGAUUCAAGUCAAGAGAUAGCUCAUUUUAUGAUACAUUAUUUUGAGCUCAAGAGGAAAUAAAAAAAGUAUCAUUUGGAUGUAAAAAUGGAGUUUUUUGAAAAUGUAGAAAUAUUUCUGUAUAUAGGUUGAAAGUAUAUGUGAAUGUUUGUUUCUAUCACACUUAGAAAAAGUUUCAUAAAAUUAAACUUGCACUGUAUGUAAUAGAAAUGUAUACAGGCUAAGUUAGCCAUAAAUAAUUUUUUUUUUUUCCCCCAAAAAUGUUGCUUCAAGUUAAGAUUAUUUAGUGUUACAUGUAUGCUAGCAUGUGUUGGGUUGGAGAAUUGAUUUAAAUUUUGGUUACUUUAUUAGUUGAUUAUAAUAUGUUUUUUGGAUAGCUUACUUAAUAGUAAUUACUAUCAGUUAAUUACAUUUUAUCUUGUGCAAAAUAUUUUGGUGUUUGUAUUAGUAAAGAAUAUAAUAAUAUAUAUAUAUUUGCAGCAUACUACAUCUAUUGUUAUACUGUAGGAUAUUUUUAUUUUGUUUGUUUUGAUCCACAAAAUAAAAAAAUAGCAAAUCAUUUAAAGAAGUAAAUUUAAAAUUGGUUACACAAAGAUUAAUUAAAAGGGAUAUCACAUGUAUAUAUGUAUUUAUUAAUUCAACAUACAUGUUUUCAAAAUACACAAGGAGUACUACAGACAGGAAGUAAAUCCUUGUGUAUGCUCUGUUUUUCUAUUUCUGUAUGUGUCCUGUAAAGUAUAUUUAGUUCUAAACUUUUCUAUACACUAUUUGCCACAUGUGAUAUGGCUAAAAACAGCAAAGUUUGACAAUAAUGGAAUUUUAAAGAUGACACGUGGUGGUAUAUAUAAAACUAGGUUUUGAAUGGUGCUCAGGUAAUUCUAAACUGGUUAGGGCCACUUAUCUGAGUAAUUGUUAUGAUCUUACUUGGAAGAGUAUGAAGUGACCCACUCAAUCUCCAAACCUGAAUCCAUUUGAUGACACUCAUAACUCAAACUUAGGAUAAUGCAGAUACAAUGUCAGGCAGUGAUAAGUGUUUGAAGGUAUCCUUGUGCAUGUUGAGUUUUAUAAAGGUAUGCUUU